UAAAGCAAGAAAGGGCGUAUGGGGAAUGCCUAGGCACACUCCGGCGAAGAAGGACGCAGCAAACAGCGAAAUGCGACGGGAAGCGGUAAGCACGCAAAGAUCCGUCGAUAUCCGAAUGGGGGAACCCGCAUGGAGUCAAAUCCAUGGAUCACAUGUUGAAUACAUAGACAUGAUGAGGCGAGACGCAGGGAACUGAAACAUCUAAGUACCUGCAGGAAGAGAAAAUAAGAAUGAUUUUCUGAGUAGCGGCGAGCGAAAGGGAAAGAGCCCAAACCGAUUUUAGGAUCGGGGUAGUAGGAUCAUCGAGGAAUCUGACAGAGGAUCAUAGAGGAAUCACAUGGGAAGGUGAGCGAGAGAGGGUGAGAGCCCCGUACUCGAAAUGAGAGACUGGAGAGAGAUGACACCUGAGUAGGGCGGGACACGAGGAAUCCUGUCUGAAUCGGCCGGGACCAUCCGGCAAGGCUAAAUACGAGAGUAGUGACCGAUAGUGAACCAGUACCGUGAGGGAAAGGUGAAAAGAACCCCGGGAGGGGAGUGAAAGAGAACCUGAAACCAUAUGCCUACAAGAAGUCAGAGCCCGUUAAAGGGUGAUGGCGUGCCUUUUGUAGAAUGAACCGGCGAGUUACUGUAUGGAGCGAGGUUAAGCAGGAUAUGCGGAGCCGAAGCGAAAGCGAGUCUUAAGAGGGCGAAAGUUGCAUGCAGUAGACCCGAAACCGGGUGAUCUAGCCAUGACCAGGUUGAAGUUGGGGUAAAACCCGAUGGAGGACCGAACCGACCCCCGUUGAAACGUUGGCGGAUGAGUUGUGGCUAGGGGUGAAAUUCCAAUCGAACCCGGAGAUAGCUGGUUCUCCCCGAAAUAGCUUUAGGGCUAGCGUCGAGGUAGAGAGUUGCGUGAAGGUAGAGCACUGAAUAUGUGAUGGCCCCAUCUCGGGGUACUGAGCAUAAUCAAACUGCGAAUGUCACGGAAACAUACUCGGCAGUCAGACAGCGGGUGAUAAGGUCCGUUGUCAAGAGGGAAACAGCCCAGACCAUCAGCUAAGGUCCCAAAAUGUAUGCUAAGUGGAAAAGGAUGUGGAGAUGUACAGACAACUAGGAGGUUGGCUCAGAAGCAGCCAUCCUUUAAAGAGUGCGUAACAGCUCACUAGUCGAAUGACUCUGCGCCGAUAAUUUACCGGGGCUAAGCAUACUACCGAAGCUAUGGAUCCCAAGGGAUGGUAGGGGAGCGUUCCAUGAACGGAGAAGCGUGAUCGAGAGGACGCGUGGAGAUCAUGGAAGAGAGAAUGCCGGUGUGAGUAGCGGAACGUGGGUGAGAAUCCCACGCACCGAAAACCCAAGGUUUCCAGAGGAAGGUUCGUCCGCUCUGGGUAAGUCGGGACCUAAGGCGAGGCCGAGAGGCGUAGUCGAUGGACAACAGGUAGAGAUUCCUGUACUCAUAUAUAUGUGAAGGAAUGACGGAGAGAGGAAGCUGCAGCCAGCGGCUGGAAGAGCUGGUGCAAGCGAGAUAUCGGGAUGGCAGGCAAAUCCACCAUCCGAAACGAGAAGGCGUGAAGCGUACGGAAAGCUACGGCGAGUACGGAAGGCAGUGGAGGAACUUCCAAGAAAAGUUUCUAACGUUAAGUAUAUAUGGCCCGUACCGAAAAUGGACACACAUGGGUGAGGAGAGAAUCCUAAGGUGAGCGAGAGAACUAUAGCUAAGGAACUCUGCAAAAUGACUCCGUAACUUAGGGAGAAGGAGUGCUCAUAGAGAUAUGAGCCGCAGUGAAACGGCCCAAGCGACUGUUUACCAAAAACACAGCUCUCUGCUAAGCCGCAAGGCGAAGUAUAGGGGGUGACGCCUGCCCGGUGCUGGAAGGUUAAGGGGAGGGGUUAACGCAAGUGAAGCCCUGAACUGAAGCCCCAGUAAACGGCGGCCGUAACUAUAACGGUCCUAAGGUAGCGAAAUUCCUUGUCAGGUAAGUUCUGACCC
rnacentral:rRNA from 1 species